AACACCUCUAAAGAACAUACAAUAAAAACACUCACCUAUUUUCGAGAAAAUUAAAUGGAUAGGACGACGCAAACCAUCCAUCAACCGGGGAGUGACUCACAAAAGAAGGUUGUUUUACCCGACUGAUCAUGAAGAACGCCUCUCCUAAGUAAUGCGUUCCUUGGUGCGCAUUCUCUCCCCAAGGAUUAUCCCGACCUACAUUCCAUAACACUCAGUUAUAAAGUAUUUGGAACUUGAUGCACCAAUGUGGGCCUCUUAGAACAGGUUCAAGACCCUUUGAGGACUGCUUGAACAAUUUAGUUAUUUACUGUAAAAUGAUUCAAAAUUUAGCUUGGCAUUCCAUUGUAUGACCCCAAAAACUGAUACAUAGCCUUUAGACCCCAAAAACAGAUACAUAACCUUUAGACCCCAAAAACAGAUACAUAGCCUUUA
rnacentral:lncRNA from 1 species